CCACGAACGACGGCGGGGGGGCCGAAGGAGCGUUGACUUCCUUGGCGAAACCAUCGAUGUUGGAGCCCGAGCCCUCGGGAAGCCUCUCCGCAAGCCUCCGGCGACAGCUCCAACAUCCAAGAACCCACAGGCGGCGGGAUCCAGCGGUCGGGAGGGUGAGUUGUCUUGUCCCGUACGCUUCCCCGUGCUGCGAUUCCGUUUCUCGAAGAGCAUCUGUGAAUUGAACGCUUCCUCGACUCUAUAUAUAUGUGGCUGGGUUUCGGUUUUACUGUUCCGGAUCGACCGUAGUGUACCGGCGAGAAUUGUCCAGUCGCGAAGGAGGAGGAGGAGGAGGAGGAGGAGGUGCUCACGAGAUUCUGGGGCUUUUCGGCGUUCCGGGCAAAGCGGGUCAGGAGGACCAGCCGUGACUGUUUAGUUCAUUGUCUUCUGAGGAUGAUCUGAGCAGGAGCUUGGGAGGGAGGUCGAAUGAGUCUAUUCCAAAUGGUUAUGUUGCCUCACUUCAGGAGUCAGAGUCUUUAGUUUUGUAGAGCUGAAAGUUGCAACAAGAAGCUACAGAUCUGAUACAAUUUUUGGCAAGGGUGGUUUUGGUAGUCUUCACAGGCUACCUUGAUGAGAAUGGGUCUUCCCAGAGCAAAAGAAUCACUCCAAUUGCAAUAAAAAAAUUGAACCCAUAGAGCAUGCAAGGAUUCAAAGAGGGAAGGUUGUCAGGAUGUAAAGUGAUGAGACACAAAUGGUUAAGGCAUAUCUGUUUUGAAAAGCACAUUUGAGUGGCCGUCUCGGGGUGUGUGGAUGAGAAGGCAAGCUGCUGUAAUUCCUAGGACCAUUUGAUCUAUAGAUACCUCAACAGCCAAACAGCACGGAAGUGGAGGAAACAAGUAGGAGGAGAGAAGUUUUGCCUGCUUAGCUUCUAUCUCUAAGGUUCUUGAGAGCUGGUGUAGAAACGUCUUCUGAAUCUUCAUUGUUUAUAUAUAUUAUGGUAAAAGUCUUGUGAAAGCUUGUAAAUUUUGAAUUGUAGGGACUCUUCUUGCAUUUCACAAAAGGACUUUAGGCCCUGCAUCAGAAACUAUUGUGACUCCUUGCCUUUUAAGCUAAACUCAAAGGAUGUCACUACAAUGUACCUGAAACAUUAAAUCCCAAUAUAAGUUUUACGACAUUAGCCACUUCUGAAUUUCUCGGUGUAGUUCUAGGAACUAAAACCAUCCUCAGUGAGGAUAUUUUAUUUGUGGAAAAAUAUGCUGGCCGGCCUUGAAAGUGAGGUGACAUAUUUGUUUGAAUAAGAUUAUGCCAUUUUCUUUUUCAUGAAUCAUCUGGUAAAUGGAGGUCAACAUGUUAUUAGCAUACAAGUCUUUUAAAAGGGAAAAGAUGAGAGGGAAGGACUUAGCUUCCGCAUAAAUCUAUUCAGCAUUUGAAUUUUUCAAAAUUGAUCAUCACUCAAGAUGCUAUUGUUAAGGUGGACAUCUACUUUGUACUACACAAGAUGAGUGCAUUAUUUUCUCAUGUUGCAUAUCAGAGCUUGAAUGAUUUUGUGUUUGAGACCUACAUGGUCACCCAUACAGUCAUCAAUCUUAUCCUCUAUUGGCUUUGCCGAUGUCAAAAUCAUGCGAGGGAUGUUUACUUGCUUUAUAACUAGGUUGAGCACUUAAGAUUUGCUUACUCCUCGGUUUACAUGAAUAUGAGGUUGUGUAUUUACAGUAAGGCAUAUGAAAUUCAACCAUGCGGUUCACUUGUCAGGAUUUACUAUUGAACAUGGGUGAUGAUGCUUCAUUGAAUAUUUCAUCCCAGUUUUUAUUUCAGAUUAUUUGCUACCAUCUAAAAUUUGAUGGGUGCAUCCAUGGUAGAUGGCUCUUAGGGUGCCAUUGUGGGUUUCUUUAAUUUCUCAUCACACAAUUGGUCGUUCUGUCUCCUCUCUUUUUCUGCGGGGGAUUCCUGUUUGCUUCGUAUACUAAAAAAAUGUGAAAUUAUGAGGUUAUUUUGAUAUGAGAGUGAUGACUUUUUACAAUCGGUGGUGAACUCCCUGCACAGCUUAUCUCAUCCAAACAUUGUCAUGCUAAUGGGAUACUGUUUGAAGGAUAAAUAACUACUUCUUGUCCGUGAGUUCUUCCCAAAGGGUACCCUAAAGAACCAUCUCUUUGGAAGGGGGCUCGGCCAUUAAACCAUUUCCAUGGGUCACACGGAUUAAAAUUGCAAUAGGAGCAGCCAAAGGUCUCAUGUUCUUGCACCAGUUAGACAGGCAAAUAAUCUGCAGAGAUUUGAAGCCCUCAAACAUAUUGCUGACUCAGUUUUCACAUAUAGUAUGGGAGUUAUCAUUGCAAAGCAUCUUCAAAACCUGGUUCGCCACUCGAGUAUGAUUUCCUUACAUUUUGGUCAGGGGGCUUUGUUGUUAUGGUUGUCUAAAUUGCAUAUUCCCAAGCUACUCUUUUCAUAGGUAGUUUAUAAUACCAGUCAUUAGCCCGAGUCCUAUAAUGCCAAAAUAUCAGAUUUUGGUUUGGCCAGAAAGGGUCCAGACGAAGACAGAUCACAUGUGACAACACAGGUUAUUGGAACUUAUGACUGCGCCAGCACCCGAGUAUAUAGCCACAGGUAAUACGAUGGGCUUUCUGAAUUGCUUGGGGUGAUCAUAGCAGAGAACAUAGCACUCUGGACUUAAGUUUGACCAUGGCUGAAGCCACGUUUUGCAAAUUCAUGCUAGAUUAUCACAUCAUUCUGGUUUAACAGGUUAUUUAUGUGUGAAGAGCGAUGUCUAUAGCUUCAAGAUGGUACUGGUUGAGCUUCUGGCGGGAAUGCGAGCACAUGAUGUAAAUCGUCGGACUGAUUAGCAGAUUUUGGUGGAGGGGGUCUAACCUGAUCUUUCUAAAAGGAAAUUGACUAGAAUCAUGCAUGGACUCUCGACUGGAAGGGCAAUAUCCUCUGAAGUAUGCUCUUUACGAAGCCGCGCUCGCAUUCCAAUGUCUCCGCUAUUCGCCCAAGCACAGGCCAUCGAUGAAUGAAGUCGUGGUAACCCUGGAAAGAAUUAGUUGCAGCUGAUAGAAAACACUGUUUCUUAGACGAUUGAUCCCAACUCGGCCAUCUUUCCCGGACACGGUCAGUAAUUCUUUAUUCAUCACCUCCGCUCAUUGCAGAUUAGUCUUCUGCACCCUAUGAACUAGCUUGGCCAAUGGAUAUGCUUGUUGGCACAAGUUGGACUGACACAUACAUGCCUUAAGUUCAAAAUGUGCCCCAUGUUGAUUGUGUGUAUGGAGGUGUGUGAGAUAGAGAGAAAGAGAAAGCCCUUGCCAUCACGAUUUGGCCGAAAGCAGCCCGGUUCUCCGAGCUUAAGAAUUUUGUCGAGCGGCUCUAGCCUACCCAACAAUCAAGUUUGCUUUCCGUGCCCGAGUUGCCACCCAAACCCGCCAACAGUUCCUGCGGGUGUCGCCUUGACCACACGGUAAGGCAAGCUGGGUUUGAAAGGCCAUUAUUAUUUUAGAACGUUCUUUACGUGUUUAGAGAUUCCAAAUACUCAAACCUCGAAAUAAAAAAAUUAAA